rnacentral:rRNA from 1 species
UACGUAGGGGGCUAGCGUUGUUCGGAUUUACUGGGCGUAAAGCGCACGUAGGCGGAUCGUUAAGUCGGGGGUGAAAUCCUGGAGCUCAACUCCAGAACUGCCUUUGAUACUGGAAGACUUGAGUCCGGGAGAGGUGAGUGGAACUGCGAGUGUAGAGGUGAAAUUCGUAGAUAUUCGCAAGAACACCAGUGGCGAAGGCGGCUCACUGGCCCGGUACUGACGCUGAGGUGCGAAAGCGUGGGGAGCAAACAGGG